AAGUCGUAACAAGGUUUCCGUAGGUGAACCUGCGGAAGGAUCAUUACAGAGUGUGAGGCUCAGUCGUGGCAUCUGCUGCGUGCUGGGCCGACCCUCCCACCCGUGUCGAUUUGUAUCUUGUUGCUUUGGCGGGCCGGGCCGCGUCGUCGCUGCUCCGCAAGGACAUGCGUCGGCCGCCCACCGGUUUCGGCUGGAGCGCGCCCGCCAAAGACCCAACCAAAACUCAUGUUGUUUUUGUCGUCUUAGCUUUAUUAUUGAAAUUGAUAAAACUUUCAACAACGGAUCUCUUGGCUCUG
rnacentral:misc_RNA from 1 species